rnacentral:rRNA from 1 species
UGGGCGUAAGCGCACGCAGGCGGUCUGUCAAGUCGGAUGUGAAAUCCCCGGGCUCAACCUGGGAACUGCAUUCGAAACUGGCAGGCUAGAGUCUUGUAGAGGGGGGUAGAAUUCCAGGUGUAGCGGUGAAAUGCGUAGAGAUCUGGAGGAAUACCGGUGGCGAAGGCGGCCCCCUGGACAAAGACUGACGCUCAGGUGCGAAAGCGUGGGGAGCAAACAGGAUUAGAUACCCUGGUAGUCCACGCCGUAAACGAUGUCGACUUGGAGGUUGUUCCCUUGAGGAGUGGCUUCCGGAGCUAACGCGUUAAGUCGACCGCCUGGGGAGUACGGCCGCAAGGUUAAAACUCAAAUGAAUUGACGGACCCGCCUGCGUGC